GAAAUAUUAUAUAAGCCUUGGUAAUUGAUAAUUUUUUGAGAUGGAUGAAGAAACUUUAGUUAGGCUAUCACCACUGAGGCCUGGGGGAGGCAGCGGUGGUGGUGGUGGUGGCGGCGGCUUGAAGUCAUCAUCGUCGGGGAAAUUAAGUCCGAGGGGUUCCCCUUCUUCCAGGAGAUUAAACUCGGGCCAAACUCCUAGAAGAGAAGCACGUAGCGGUGUGUUUAGCUCUCACUGUCUUAGAAGUAACCGCAUUGUCCUUUGGUUUGGGCUUACACCGGAUUCUAUUUCCAGUCGAAAUGGGCACACGGUGACAACAAGGAAGAUCUCUUCAGCGGUGGCUAUAGCGGCGAAUCGGGCGGUGAUAAAUCCGAACCGCAGAUCAAGAAUCGGAGGAGGGACUUAAUUGCUAAAGUCGAUUCUGUGGCAGUUGAGUAAAAGUAUUGUGGAUGUGGUUCUUGCGAAGAACACUACAUUGGAUAAAAACAAGCCCUCGAUGAGGAGUAGGAGAUCUCUACGUAGGAAGAGACCAGUCAGUAGUAAGCCAAAGACGAUGAUUGCAGACGAAGUGGAAAGUGAAGUUGAUUUGCAAACAGAGGAAAUAAUACCGAAGAAAAAUACGACUUACGUAUUUCUUGUGGGCCCGUUUGGAUCUGUAGAGGACUCAAUUUUGGAGUGGAGUGUCGGGUACUUGUGAUAUAGGAAGGGAGCUUUUGCUCGUUUAGUUUGGUCAAGAAAGUUUGUUUUGAUCUUCCAUGAGCUGUCUAUGACUGGAGCUCCACUCGCCAUGACUGGAUCUUCCAUGAGCUGUCUAUGAAGGGGCGAGUGUUUUUGGUGAUACAGGUGCUCGGAACUGAUUCUGGAGGAACAAGAGAGAUUGUUGAACACAAUUACACAAUAUAACCGAUCUUCAUCCUUUAGGUAGGCCGGGGGGUCCGAAUUCUUGCGAACAAUCUUCAAUUCUUGCUCGAGAAUUCAAAAGCAAGGCAAUAAAUAGGAUUAAAAGGUAGAGAAAAAGUUGAGAGAAUGUACUUGAAGAAGCACAUGUUUCAGAAGUUUGGUGAGGUACUUACUGUACAAGUGCAUGAGAAUAAAGUAGGCAUUUUGCAGGAGAUUGAUUCAUCGACAUUCUAUAUAAAUAGUGAAAUCUCUGUUAUUUGUGCACGAGAGUGUAAUCAUCUGAUGGAGCUUGAUACAUCCAUUAUGGGAGUUCAGCAAGAAAGGAGGAAAAUAAAGUUUCCCUUCCCUCAAUUCUGGGGUUGGCAUGGGUGCAUGCUCAAUUGGCCACGUCAAGAGUGCAUCAUCGGUGCUGCCAAGCGUACGUCGGGAGGUUUUUAAAAUUUUAAGGUGUUAUUGUAUGGAUUUUGAUGCCCUUGUACAUUUGUUUUCGCCGUAUGUGGAAAUUUUCAUUUCCGCCUUGUGAAGCUGUUUUACCUCGUUAUUUUUCUCAAUUCAUGAAUUCUUGACA